CCUACGGGGGGCAGCAGUGGGGAAUAUUGCACAAUGGGGGGAACCCUGAUCCAGCCAUGCCGCGUGUGUGAAGAAGGCCCUCGGGUUGUAAAGCACUUUCAGUGAGGAAGAACGCCUGGUGGUUAAUACCCAUCAGGAAAGACAUCACUCACAGAAGAAGCACCGGCUAACUCCGUGCCAGCAGCCGCGGUAAUACGGAGGGUGCGAGCGUUAAUCGGAAUUACUGGGCGUAAAGCGCGCGUAGGUGGCUUGAUAAGCCGGUUGUGAAAGCCCCGGGCUCAACCUGGGAACGGCAUCCGGAACUGUCAAGCUAGAGUGCAGGAGAGGAAGGUAGAAUUCCCGGUGUAGCGGUGAAAUGCGUAGAGAUCGGGAGGAAUACCAGUGGCGAAGGCGGCCUUCUGGACUGACACUGACACUGAGGUGCGAAAGCGUGGGUAGCAAACAGGAUUAGAUACCCUAGUAGUC
rnacentral:rRNA from 1 species